rnacentral:rRNA from 1 species
AUUGAACGCUGGCGGCAUGCCUUACACACGCAAGUCGAACGGUAACAGGUUAAGCUGACGAGUGGCGAACGGGUGAGUAAUGUAUCGGAACGUGCCCAGUCGUGGGGGAUAACGUAGCGAAAGCUACGCUAAUACCGCAUACGAUCUGCGGAUGAAAGCGGGGGAUCGCAAGACCUCGCGCGAUUGGAGCGGCCGAUAUCAGAUUAGGUUGUUGGUGAGGUAAAAGCUCACCAAGCCUGCGAUCUGUAGCUGGUCUGAGAGGACGACCAGCCACACUGGAACUGAGACACGGUCCAGACUCCUACGGGAGGCAGCAGUGGGGAAUUUUGGACAAUGGACGCAAGUCUGAUCCAGCAAUGCCGCGUGCAGGACGAAGGCCUUCGGGUUGUAAACUGCUUUUGUACGGAACGAAACGGUGAGCUCUAAUACAGUUUGCUAAUGACGGUACCGUAAGAAUAAGCACCGGCUAACUACGUGCCAGCAGCCGCCGUAA